GAUGAACGCUGGCGGCGUGCCUAAUACAUGCAAGUCGAGCGGUAAGGCUUCUUCGGAAGUACACGAGCGGCGGACGGCUGAGUAAUGCAUAGGAACGUACCCCAAACUGAGGGAUAAGCCACCGAAAGGUGGUCUAAUACCGCAUGUGCUCUUCGGAGUAAAGCUACGGCGGUUUGGGAGCGGCCUAUGUUCGAUUAGCUUGUUGGUGAGGUAAUGGCUCACCAAGGCGACGAUCGAUAGCGGGUCUGAGAGGAUGAUCCGCCAGACGGGAACUGAGACACGGUCCAGACUCCUACGGGAGGCAGCAGUAGGGAAUUUUCCACAAUGGGGGCAACCCUGAUGGAGCAACGCCGCGUGCAGGAUGAAGGCCUUCGGGUUGUAAACUGCUUUUCUCUGUGAUGAUUAUGACAGUAGCAGAGGAAUAAGGAUCGGCUAACUCCGUGCCAGCAGCCGCAGUAAUAC
rnacentral:rRNA from 1 species